UGUGGCUCAAAGGCGUCCCCUUCAAGGACGGCGAACCAGUGCAAGACGAUUAACCGGUUCAGCAGAAACUCGCCGCUUGAAAUCGACUGUCGCGAUGCUGCUCAUACACCACUCUUGACGCUAGCUCGGCUUAAACCCCAUUACCGAGUAGGCGUUUCGCCAAGCUCGAAUAGAAGGAAGGUUGCUCUCUUGUCCCGUCUCCAGACGUUGGGGCGUACCGAGUUCAGUAUUUCUGAUGUAUCUACUCGGUCUGCUUUUAUUUUGAUCACCUCGCGGGUGAUCACCCCUACAACUCGCAGCUGAGGGAAUUUCUGCCAAAUGCUAUCGGAAUGAAAAAAAUACAUUAGCGCUAGAUCCGCAACUCGAUGAUGAUGCUACCGGCUUAAUCGCGUUAGAUAUUGAACAAAAUUGACUAUUGAUUGACUAUUGACAUCACUCUCUCGAUGCACGGAUUGGCGGGAAGUGGUGGCUGAGAACCAUUGCUCAACUCGGAUCAAUUGAAUGUUUGGCGCGACAAGCUGUUCGAUUGCGCUCAACGCUCCAAUUCUAAUAUCUGGGUCUCCGCGCCGUCCGCGAUCGGUCAUUCGCGGUCUCUCUGUUUCCGUGCGAUGAUAGGCUUUUGGUAUUGGUGCUCAGCGUCGAACGCCUCUUUUCCCUUUCCGGCCCAGAGCGCGAGCGCUUUGUUGCGCUCGUCGCUUCUGAGCUUAUCGGCGAUCCAGACCAGCCCGCCGAGUUCGAUGAGCAUUUUCGUGCGCUUACGGCGCUCGACCCCACUGCCGCAUAUCAGUUCGCGCCUUCUGCGCCUGAUGGCGAUGGCGCGCCGCACCGCUGCGUCUGAGCGCUGUUUGCGUCGCCAUGAUUUGCCGAUGCCGUUCGCCGCGACCGUCCCCGAAACCACGCCGCGCCGCGCUUGGCCCAAGCUUCCCGUUUCGCGGCGUCCCUCAUCAUCUCCGCCACCACGACCAGCGUCCGCCAGUUCGUCGAGCGUGAGCGCAUCGGCUCCGGUGGCGAUCACUAACUCGCCCAAUUGCUGAACCUUGCGCACUUUCAGCUCUUUCGUCCUGUCUUCCAGCCCCUUUAGCUCCGCAUCGUAGUCUCGUGGCUUGCGCAUCACCGUUUCCUUUCCCGGUCGUAAGUGAUCGAUGCGGCGAUCAUAAUUGAGCCUCGCGCAAAUUUGAGCCUCGCGCAAAUUGCUGUAGAGUGCUCGGAACGGCCUGACACGCCGUGACCAGUCCCGAGGAAUUCAUUUUGAGGGCGCUUAUACGUCGUUCCGACGUGCGCUUUUCCGUGCUGAUGUUGCGAUCGCGAUGGUGACCUAUCAUCUUCACGUCAAGGUCAUCGGCCGCAAGGCCGGCUCCAGCGCGGUGGCGUCCGCCGCCUACCGCUCCUCGGCCUCGCGGCUGCGCGACGAGCGGCUGGAGCGCACGCACGACUUCUCCAGCAAGCGCGGUGUCGUGCACUCCGAGGUGCUGUUGCCCGACAACGCGCCCGAUCAUCUCGGCGACCGCGAACAGCUGUGGAACGAGGUCGAAGCCGUCGAGGAGCGCAAGGACGCCCAGUUUGCCCGCGAGGUCGAAUUCUCGUUGCCGCGCGAACUGACACAGGCGCAAGGUAUGCCUUUUGCUGGCUGUUUCUGCGGCUGAAUGAGUCAGUCAGAAGGGGAAAUUCGUGUUUUGCAAGAGUAACUUAGCGGUCGUAGGGCUAUGGCGUAGUAAUCGGCGGUAAAAGGAUGGUCUGGCGACGGGAUUUUCGGAAAAUGCCGGAUCGAUACCGUUCCGUUGCUUGCUGCGCAAGGAAUUCGAACUCGUGGCGACAUCAUCACUACAAUGAUUCGCUCUAUGUCUUGGUGGUUUUCGCCAUCGCGCCGUCUGGUGGCGGGACUGGUCGUCCUCGCUUUGGAUUGGGAGCGCGUUUCGCGCUUCCAAUCUCCCUUUCCUGCUUCCCGAUCCCCCGCCCCUGCCAAGAUCGAUGCCGGUAUGGAAGGCGAUCUCCUCGGAGAGCUUGCGGCUGUUGUCGAAGUCGAUGCCGAGUUCGUGUUUCCGGUUCAUCAGCAAGGAUUCCAGUUGCGGGUCGCGGUGCAGGCCGUUGAGCAUUUCGCCCAUCUGCCGGCGUGUCGUCUCGACUCGCUGAUGUCGCCGUUCUCGUAUUGCCGCUUGCUGGCCUCGCUUGCUGGCCUGAUCGAACUUUUGCCAGCGCUCCACGAACCGAUCGGCAUGGCUUCAUGAUCGACGCGGAUUUCGGUUUCGAGCUGGAGCGCCCGGAUGGCGCGAAUGACCUUGCCGCCCGCCGCCUCAUAGGCGAGUUCCGGGUUCUCUUCUUGUAGGUGGCCUCGGCGUUCUUCCAGCCAUAGGGGCGCACCUUGUCGACAUCGUCGCCGGCCUUGUUCAGCGACGUCACCUGUUCAGGGCUUGCCGUGCCGUCUAUAUCCCGCACCGCGAAGAUGUCUCGUCCACGGCCUUCGCAUGACGCACCAGAGCAUUGGUGUGCGUCGCGCGUGGUCCUCUGACUGUCUGCGGCCAUCUCCCUCUCAGGGCCAGCCGACCGCUCCGGCGCUGCCGCAUCGCGCGGCGCGGCGCGGCCUCCACAUUCGCUCUUUCACUUUCCGGCCCCUUUUCCGGUCGCGGCGCAUUGGUAUUGCCGGAUGCCGUCCCGCUGACAGCCGCAAGCCGUCAAAGAUGCCGCGCCGCUCGGCAUAGCUCCGGGCGGGAUCGGCCUGCGCCGGGUCCGCUUGGUCGUAAUCCGACGCCAUGUCCUUGGCCCGGUCACGCGACAGGGUGCGGGCGAGGCGGUUCGGAUCGGCAAAAUCAUCGCGGCCGUAGACAGGUCCACAUGAUCGCGAUGUCGCGACAGGGCAAACAUAGCUCGAAUGGCUGUCCAUGCCCGGUGUCGCCAGCACAUGCACCCGGUCCACCGUCAUGCCCUGCACCUUGUGGAUGGUGGCGGCAUAGCUAUGGUCGAUCCGGUCAUAGUUUUCAGGUCGAAGGACGCGCUGCGGCCAUCGUCGGUGCGCACCGUCAGCGAUUGUGGGCUCGCCCGCUCGAUGGACGCGAGUGUUCCAUUCUUCACUCCAAGCCCGCGAUCAUUUUGCAGGAAAAUGACUCGGUCGCCGAUGGCGAAGGACCGCGCGCCACGCUCGACUUUCACGGCCACAUCGUCGCCGAGAUCGCCGGCCUCGCGCAUCUUGUCCCGCGCCGCCUCGUUGAGCGCCCGCACCUCGUUAUUGGUAUGGGUAAGAAUGAUACGGCUCUUGUCAGGAGAUUGCUGACCAUCCUUGUCCCAGCCGUCGAUCAACUUGUCCCGCGCCUCGAUGCGCGUCUCCGCGACAUGCAGCCGGUCGUGGCUGCGAUAGGCGUGCAGGGCCAUGCCGGUCCUGCCGGUCGCCAGAUCGCGGGUGGCGUCGCGCUGCCAGUCCUCCCGUUGGCGGCGCACCUCGCUGAUUUCGGCGCCACCGUGACGCUCGUGGAUCGAGCGGAAGGCACCCGCCUCGAUCGAUUGCAACUGCUGCGGAUCGCUGACCAGCACGACUUUUGCACCAGCCUCGGCGGCAUGGUGGGCACGCGCUCCAACUGGCGCGUGCCCACCAUGCCGGCCUUGUCGAUGACCAGCACAUCGCGGGAGGCGAGCAUGUCGCGGCCGCUUUUCCAGCCAUGCUCCAUGCUGGCGAUGGUGCGGGACGCGAUGCCCGAUCCGCCCUCCAAAUUCUCCGCCGCGAUGCCAGAGAGCGCCACACCCUUGACAUCGUAACCGGCAGCGCCCCACGCUUGGCGGGCAAUGCCCAGCAUGGCGCUCUUUCCCAUUCCAGCAUAACCGAUGACGACCGACAGAUCGCGGCCAUCGGUGACAUGCGCAAAGGCGUCGGCCUGCUCGCCGGAAAGGUAAGUCCACGCGCUUCCGCCCACGCUAACACGGCCUCCCUAUCCUUGUCGGCUAUUCCGUGAUGUUCGCGCUCGGCCAUCAAUUCCGCCGCCUGAUGCAGGCGCUGUUCGGCCUCGAUCAUGUCGCGUGUCGUGAACCGCUUUUCGCCGCGCAUAUCCUUGCCGAGUUCGACCAGAUCGGGCGCGCCCCGCAUCGCACCUAUGACCUGGUUGAACUGCUCGAUCCCUCGCUUUGACGAUGCGCAAACAUCGCCAUGUCACGACGCGUAAACGUCGAUUGCUGCUGCGUGAUCGCGUCGAGCACAACGGAAGGAUCGGCGAUGAUCCGCGCGCGCAUUGUUGCGGGCGAUCUCGCUGUGCAUCUCGGCGCGAUCGGCGACGUUUAUCUCCGCUCCGCUGCCUCUCUCCUUUCCCUCUUGCCCCAGCGCUUGCUCAAUGCGCUGGGCCGGUGCUUCAAUCUGUGUUUGCAGUUCGAGAUCGAUGCCUUGCGCUUCAAGGCUGCGAUGAUCGAUACGGGCGUCGAUGUCGAGUUCGGCCAGCUGCUCGUUGGCGAGAUCGGCCCAGCGUUCUCGCCAGCGCUCGACCAUCUCGGUGCGGUUCCAGUCGCGAACUUUCUGACCGAACCCGCUUUCGUUUACCGAGCGCAUCGUCAGCAUCACAUGCGCGUGCGGCUUAGGACUGCCGUCCUCGGCAAAAUCCCAAUGCACGUUGAGGUCGGCGAUCAUGCCCUGAUCGACGAAUUCCUGUUGCACGAAAUCGCGGGCGAGAUCGAUCCUAAUCAUGCGCCAACCAGACCGCAUUCUUCGUAUGAAAACCGCGCUCGAUCGCACGGGCCUGUCCAAGAGCACCCUCUACCGCAAGAUGAGGGCCGGCACCUUUCCUCCCAAAAUCCCGAUCAACGCCAACGGCACCGGGUGGCGUGAAUCCGACAUCGAUCGCUGGGUUGCCAACCCCGUCGCAUGGGGCCGGCGCAACGAGUUCGACUUCGAUGACUGACGGCUCGGGCGAUGACGAUGGAAGGAGUUUUGCGCCACGGUCCCGACACAUCAGGCCGCCGACAGCAGCGGAACAGCUUGAAGCGCUUCUCGGCUAUCGCUGGCCGAUGGGCCGACCGCCCGAGCAUGACCUGUCCACUUGGACCGUUACCGACGACUGGCCCGAUCCCGCUCCCAUGACGGAAGCUGAAAUCGAAGUCUUCGAGCGUUGGUUCGGCGACCUUUUCGAUGAACUGUUUGGCCCGGAGAAAUAACCGCGUUGAACAUCACCUCGCCUGCAUUUCCUUGUUGCGAGUUGAGUUAUUGCGUGGUAUGGUGCCCCCACAUUGGAUAGUGUGAAUGAUCGUUGGAUGACUGGAUGACUGGAUGACUAGUUGCGGGCAUUUUUCGUGGAUGAUGCCCACUCUCGCAACAUCCCGUCCGGUCCGAUCUGUAAGGCUGGUUGUUCCGCAAGCUCCAGAUGAUCGAUGAUGCCUUAACAGAUCAGGACUUGCGCGUACUGCCCAGCAAUCACUUCGAGAAGCUGCGCGGCAAUCUGGAGGGGUUCCACUCCAUUCGCGUCAACCAGCAAUGGCGACUGAUCUUCCGCUGGGACAGCGAGCACGGAGAAGCGGACGGCAUAUAUCUGGAUGACCACCAAACGCAAGCCGGCGACUGUAGGCGAAACUUGACCGAAGAGUUCAUGGGCCCGUUAGGUCUCAUGCAGCGUUCGCUUGCCGAACUUGAUAGGGGUGCGGCGCAAGCAUGUCAACGAACUGUGCGGCGACGCAGGAAUGUCACCGCCGCGACAGCGCUAAUUCAUUCUUUUGCGCGCGUGUUCGGUAACAGCGCCGACUUCUGGCUCAACGUGCAGCGGCCCAACGAUCUGUGGGAGGUGAUGGAGGAACAUGCCCAAGAAGCGCGAGCGGAUCGAACGUGCGCGUGCUCCUCUGGAGCGUGCGGCCUGAACACCGACAAGACCGCACAUUCCAAUCGAAAGCGACCUGACCUCUUUUAAGAAAGAAGGAAACCGUUGCCAUGACCGUGCCACAGCGCGCUGUCCUUUAUCUUCGCGUCUCGAGACGACGCGGCAGGCCUAGAUGGCAUAAUGCCACCAACGAUCGCCACCCCGAGUUCCAGCGCAUGAUCGAGGGCCGCACGUUCGAGCCCGCGCCCUUCGAUGUCGUCGUGGUCCACUCGUUCAGCCGCUCUUCUUCUUCCGCGAUCACUUCGAGUUGGAAUUCUACGUUCGUUCCGUAAGCUCGCCAAGAACGGCGUCAGGCUGCUCUCGAUCACGUAAGAGAUGGGCCGAUGUCCGAUGCACGUCAUGAAGCGCAGUGACCACUCAGGGACUGAAGUGGCGGAGAGGGUGGGAUUCGAACCCACGGUACGGGAGACCGUACGCCUGAUUUCGAGUCAGGUACAUUCGACCACUCUGCCACCUCUCC
rnacentral:tRNA from 1 species